AUUGAACGCUGGCGGCAUGCCUAACACAUGCAAGUCGAACGGCAGCACGGGAGCAAUCCUGGUGGCGAGUGGCGAACGGGUGAGUACUACAUCGGAACGUGCCCAGUUGUGGGGGAUAACCCGGCGAAAUACGGACUAAUACUGCAUACGUCCUACGGGUGUAAGCGGGGGAUCGCAAGACCUCGCGCUAUCGGAGCGUCCGAUGUCAGAUUUCUGUUUGGUGGGGUAAAGGCUUACCAAGGCGACGAUCUGUAGCUGGCCUGAGAGGAUGACCAGCCACACUGGGAAUGAGACACGGCCCAGACUCCUAAGGGAGGCAGCAGUGGGGAAUUUUGGACAAUGGGCGCAAGCCUGAUCCAGCCAUGCCGCGUGGGGGAAGAAGGCCUUCGGGUUGUAAAGAACUUUUGUCAGGGAAGAAACGCUCCGGGCUAAUACCAAGGAGUAAUGACGGUACCUAAAGAAUAAGCACCGGCUAACUACGUG
rnacentral:rRNA from 1 species